rnacentral:tRNA from 1 species
UCUAAUGUGGCAGAUUAGUGCAAUGGAUUUAAGCCCCAAAUAUAAAGCUCCACCCUUUUUUUAGAA